ACGGGUUUUGCUCAGUUUGUAGAGCGUUGUCUUACAAACCCUGAGGACACGUGUUCAAAUCCUGCAGCCCGUA
rnacentral:tRNA from 1 species